UGCAGUCGAGCGCACUCUUCGGAGUGAGCGGCGGACGGGUUAGUAACGCGUGGGAAUAUACCCUUUUCUACGGAAUAGCCUCGGGAAACUGAGAGUAAUACCGUAUACGCCCUUCGGGGGAAAGAUUUAUCGGUGAAGGAUUAGCCCGCGUCUGAUUAGAUAGUUGGUGGGGUAACGGCCUACCAAGUCUACGAUCAGUAGCUGGUUUGAGAGGAUGAUCAGCAACACUGGGACUGAGACACGGCCCAGACUCCUACGGGAGACAGCAGUGGGGAAUCUUAGACAAUGGGCGCAAGCCUGAUCUAGCCAUGCCGCGUGAGUGACGAAGGCCUUAGGGUCGUAAAGCUCUUUCGCCAGAGAUGAUAAUGACAGUAUCUGGUAAAGAAACCCCGGCUAACUCCGUGCCAGCAGCCGCGGUAAUACGGAGGGGGUUAGCGUUGUUCGGAAUUACUGGGCGUAAAGCGUACGUAGGCGGAUUGGAAAGUAGGGGGUGAAAUCCCAGGGCUCAACCCUGGAACUGCCUCCUAAACUAUCAGUCUAGAGUUCGAGAGAGGUGAGUGGAAUUCCAAGUGUAGAGGUGAAAUUCGUAGAUAUUUGGAGGAACACCAGUGGCGAAGGCGGCUCACUGGCUCGAUACUGACGCUGAGGUACGAAAGUGUGGGGAGCAAACAGGAUUAGAUACCCUGGUAGUCCACACCGUAAACGAUGAAUGCCAGACGUCGGGGGGCUUGCCCUUCGGUGUCACACCUAACGGAUUAAGCAUUCCGCCUGGGGAGUACGUGCAGUCGAGUU
rnacentral:rRNA from 1 species